CUUUAAUAUAUUAUAUGUAAGGAAACCAAGUAUAUUUAAACCUCAUUCGGUAGUUUCCUCCCGAACCGCCAGAGCAUCAGUGAUUAUAGCUCUCCAUUCGGUAGAUAAAGUAGACGAACUGUAUAGUAAUCCCAAUAGCUUCAUAAAAUAAUUCCCUUAGUGAAGCACACAAAUCCCCAAACAUCAGCCGAAGUCAAGAAGAAGGGUACAACUGAACUGAGCUUUAAUGAUUGCACACAGGCUUUUAUGCAAGUCCCCAUGCAAGGGGACAUCCCCCAGGGAGGGACAGAGAUUAACCAAUCGGGCACAGUAAAAACAUAACUGUAGCGGAGACCUGGUAUUUCACAGGUUAACUCCACUAAAUAUCCCAUUGAGGCUCAGGAACAAGUAGUAAAAAUACCAUAGAGUAAUAAUCCCAGCAAGCAAGGUAAUCCACGAAUAUCCCCAUACAGAUCCCAAUGACUGGUCGACACACAGCAUCAGGUGCAGACCUGACUUUUAAUCCACACAACCUCCUUAUAAAGCAUUCUCCCAUGCAAGGGAGGGAUUCACCAUAAUUAGGACAGUAACCAAUAAUGUCACAGUUACCUCCCACACAUCUCCUCCCCUCAGUGUGACACAUAAUCCCAUUAACCAUGCUGUAGUUUUCCCUGAGUUCUGGAUGUACCCCAAAACAAGCAGUUAGAAUAAUACUUUGGGUACCCCCUGAUAGCCCUGAUCUGGGUGACUAACAUAUCCAAAAUUCACCCUGGGGUCCGGGAGUUAGCGAAUAAAGUACCGAAUGGAUCCCCCUGGCUCUCAGCAGCGAUUGUUCCCCUCUGUCGAAUGCACCAAAGUACCGAAUAGCGCUCUUCUAGCUAUUCGUAAUUAGAGUUCCAGCAUUCGUCUGUUUGAGACCGGUGUUCGUGAAGUCGAGUGUCCGAUUUUAGUUCCAGACACUCAACAACCAAGUCCCGCUGCCUUUGUUUCGGCUGAAAAAAGAUGGCCACGGUUUUUCAGCCACGUGGCGUUCGGUAGUAUGAACGCUGGCCGCACAGAUAGAGGGGUUGAUUGACGAUUCCUUUGAAGCUUAAUGAGCCAGGGGGGUCUUUGUUCGGUAGUUCAAUCUACCGAAUGCAUAAAGGUAAAAUGAGGUGAAUAACUAGUCAAUAAAUAGGGAUUUCUUCACAUUAUACAUAUAUAGGAAAUAAAAGUGUGGGGGGGGGAGGCUGCACUCACCUGAACACGCCUAAAUGGGGUGCUGCUGGGGGCCAAAUUAUACAAUACACAAGAUCCAGCGCACUCACCUUUCCACUGAACAGCAACAAUGUUGACAGGUUUUAUUAGUUUUUUUUUUUUAAAACACCUAAUCUAGGCAAAAAUAAUGGUGGUUUAGUUACAUUAUAUGAUCAUACAUUGCAUAAGCCUGCCACAACGUCAAUGUACCCCAUCUUUGGCAGGUCCUACACUAACAGCCUAAUGUCUGCUCUUAUGACAUUAACCCACUUACUUUGGGGAAAUAAUUCCAUGCAAUGUAUGAUCACAUAAUGUAACUAAACCCCCAUUAUAUUUGCCAACAUUGAAGUUGUUGUUUAAUAGAGAGGGGAGGGCGCUGGAUCUUGUGUAUUGUGUGUUUGUGUGUAUGUAUGUAUGUGUGUAUAUAUAUAUAACAUAUACACGGAUCCAAGUCUUGUGUUUGCCCUGGUGCGAUCGCCAGCCACACUAUAUGCAAAAAAGAUGAAUGCACUCUGGGGUUUUAAUUGAAGUAAAGUAUUGCUUUUAUUCAGCACAUUACAAUCAUUGUUUCAGUCCGAGUAGACUUUUUUCAAGAUGGGGUUAUUUCACAUUCCUGGGUUACCAUAUGGUAACACAGACCCGGCAAACUGAAUUGGGCAAGCCCUAUAUAUAUCCUGUAACUUUCCAAAACACAUGGGGGAUAUUGUUAUAGUCAGGAGACUUCACUCAACACAAAUAUGAGUGUUUAAAACUGUACCCAUCACGACGAUGAAAUCACCAGUAAAAGUGCAAUUUUUGUGUAAGAAAAAAUGCAAAAAACAAAUAUGAAAGCUAACUUUGGCAAGCAUUUGUGGCUAAGUGGCUACUAGAAAAGACUGGAGAUACCCCAUUCUGAAUACCCUGAGUGGUCUACUUUGUAAAAUGGUAUGUCAUGGUGGGGUUCAUUUUCAUUUAUGUGCUGGCUGCCAUACUGUCUCAAAGGCAACAUAGCCCAUCUGGCAAAUAGCAAUUUACAAAAAUUGACAAAUCUUAUGCUUGACCCUGUAACUUUCCAAAUCACCAUAAAACCUAUACUUGAGGGGUACUGUUGUACUCGUGAGACAUUAUACAAAUAUGAGUGUUUUAGAGCAGUAAAAUGUAUUAUUCUGAUAUCAUUGGUGAAAUGGCAGUUUAUGUGUGAAAAAUGCAAAAAAAACUAAUAUAAAUGCUAAUUUUGGCCAGGGUUUGUGACUAAGUAGCUACUAAAAAGACCUAAGACCAUUUUGAAUACCGUGGGUUGUGUACUUUUACAAAUGGUAUACCAUGAUGGGGUUAAUUUUCAUUCCUGGGCUGCUAUACGAUCUCAAAGGCAACAUAGGCCCAUCAAACCAAUCUGGCAAAUUUCAAUGUGCAAACAUGGGAAAGGGGAAAGCCCUACAUGUGACCCAUGUAAGUUUGCAAAAAACCAUAAAACCUGUACAUUGGGGGCACUGUUGUACUCAGAAGAUGUUGCUGAACACAUAUUGGGGGUUUUUUGUCAGUAACACAUACCAGGAACUGAGAAUCCAUGCCUAAAAUACAAUGUGAGAGAAAAAUAACAAAAUUACCACCCAAAUGUUUGACAAAGACUGGUUGUAGAAUUAGUGAAUGGAAAGUGUUAAACCACCAUUUGAAAUGCCCUAGGGUGUCUACUUUUCAAAAAUAUAUGGUUUGAUGAGGGUAAAUUACAUUGACUGGCUUCAAAAAUUUCCCAAAUCGGACAUGGGUGCAUGAAGACCAGCUGUGAAAUUUCCAAGUUGGAAAACUGGAAUACACACCCUCUAUAUAAGGUCUUUUAGCCCCCAGAGAACAUGACACACCUGUACAUGGGGGGUAUCACUGUACUCUGGAGAUGUUGCUGAACACAUACUGGGAUUUUCUUUUGCAGUAACCCUUAAAGGUCUUAGUACAUAUAUUAUGUGGGUUCAGAAAAAUCACCAAUUAUCAUUUUUUUUAUUUGGCAUAGAUUGGUGGUAAAAUGGUUGCAUGAAAACAGUAAAAAUACCGUAAGUUUAAUACCUUAGGUUGUCUUCUUUAAAAAAAAUAAUAUGCAUGUGAAGGGUUAUUCAGGGAUUCCUGAGAGAUAUCUGAAAAAAAAAUUUAUUUGGAAAUUGCAAAGUGCUACUUGUACUUAUUUCCCUAUAACUUGCAAAAAACAAAAAGCUAAGAACGUGUUAACAUUGGGUAUUUCUAAACUCAGGACAAAAUUUAGAAACUAUUUAGCACUGGUGUUUUUUGGCGGUUGUAGAAGCGCAACAGUUUUUUUGGAUCAAAGUCCAAAAAAGGGUGUUUUUUAAAAGAUUUUCAUCAUAUUUUAUAGUAAAUGAUAUGAUGAAAAUAAUGGUAUCUUUAGAAAGACCAUUUAAUGGCGAAAAAAACGGUAUAUAACGUGUGGGUACAGUAAAUGAGUAAGAGGAGAAUUACAGCUAAACACAAACACCGCAGAAAUGUAAAAACAGCCCCUGAUCCCAUACGGUAAGAAAAUUGAAAAGUGGUCUGGUAACUAAGGGGCUAAACAAACAAAAAAAACAUAUGGGCAUAUUUUUGAACCAAAUUGACAUUUGUCAGUCCAGAACAGUGUUCACAUGUGCCAGGGGUUAAACUAGCUCCUAGCACACAAGUGCAGGUAUCUCUGGGUAUGGAUUGUUUCAAGCUAAAGCUGUGCACAUACAGAGUCCUUCUAAAAGCAGAAGUGGUAAUAGCGGUUGCAAUAACCCUUUAAAAGGACAUGAUAAGAGCUCUAUAAUCUUGUUGCUGGUAGGCUGCGAGAGCAUAUUUAAGGAGAAUUAGCACUGGCAGAUACUUUAACUAUAAAAUGAAGAAGUCACACUUCAUUAUCACAUCUCCAGCAGUGAAGGGGUGGGCUUUGGAUACUAGAGAUUCUAUUUUUUACAAUAUACAGUAAAGUAUUCACGUUUACAUUUUAUAAUAAAUUCUGUGUUUGCAUGGUUAGCUUGUUUUUUUGUUGUUGUCACUUUUGUACCCUGAUUUUGAAAGUGUUUGGACAAAAAAGCAACAAUUAGUAACCAAGCUGGGUAAUUUUGAAAGUUGUGCAAUUCAGUUGGAAUUGAUUAUGUAGUUAAUUAACACAUGCAUGUUUAAGAUGUAGAGAUCUGGAUUGUGAUAGAAUAACAAUGCUAUUAUUGAAGUGUGAUAAAUGUAUCAUAUUCCAGUGGGAUCGUAUAAUAUAGCUAUAAUUCUGGUAUUGUCGAUGUGUGAUAAAUGUAUCAUAUUCCAGUGGGAUCGUAUAAUAUAGCUAUAAUUCUGGUAUUGUCGAUGUGUGAAAAUUUAUCAUAUUCCAGUGGGAUCGUAUAAUAUAGCUAUAAUUCUGGUAUUGUCGAUGUGUGAUAAAUGUAUCAUAUUCCAGUGGGAUCGUAUAAUAUAGCUAUAAUUCUGGUAUUGUCGAUGUGUGAAAAUUUAUCAUAUUCCAGUGGGAUCGUAUAAUAUAGCUAUAAUUCUGGUAUUGUCGAUGUGUGAUAAAUACUUGUAUCACAUAUAAUAUAGCUGUUAGAAUGGUUCACAUGAAUCAGUUUACCUGUAUCAAAGAAUAUCUUGUGCAACUGCAGUGUCCAGGGGACCCAAGUAAGUUCUCAAACCAUACUAACAUGUUUUGACCACUUCGCAUAGGACAAUGUUUGAGCUAUCCUGGCAGGAUGUUAUGGUGUCCAGGGUGUACCUUUAAAAGAUAGCGGAACAAAUACAAUGUCCUUUGCCAUUCUUCAUGUGCUGGUGAAUUGAAUGAAAGCAAUUUAACUUACAGUUAGAAAUCUGAGGAAUCUUUGUACUUUAAUAUUACCCAAUAAAAUGUACAAAAUAUACCCAGAUAAGACACGGUUCUCAACAAGGGACUUAUUUUUUCUUAUAUUCAUAAAGACGUGUCCUAUUUAAUUACAUCUGUUUAGCGGUCGCUGGCGAAAGUCAUGAAACAUUGGAUUAACCUGUCCUCUUAAAUCAUCGUCCACAAAUGAGAGCCUUGAAAUCAGAACUCCCUGAUAUGCUGUCUAGAUUAUUGUGCUCAUUGAAUUAUUUCCAAUUGCUAUCUUACAACACUUCUAUCCAUGCGUGUACCAGUGGAAACCCUAAAACUACAAUUGUCUGGGGGUUCGUGGAUUUUUCAAUACGAUAUCUCACUCACUGAUUUGUGCUUACUUCCCUGCUCCAUGGCUGAUCUAUGCUCUCACUACCUGCUGCGAUCUCCUAAGAGAGUGUUUAUAUGCUGGUUUGCCAUAUUGUAAUGGUGAGCUCAUCUAUUCCUUCUGCUUGCAUGCUCUAUGUAUCCCUGAACUAUGCAAUAAAACAUUACUACAC
rnacentral:lncRNA from 1 species